rnacentral:rRNA from 1 species
CGAGCGCAGGAAGUUAUCUGAUCCUCUUUUAGAGGUGACGAUAAUGGAAUGAGCGGCGGACGGGUGAGUAACACGUAGGCAACCUGCCUGUAAGACUGGGAUAACUCGUGGAAACGCGAGCUAAUACCGGAUAACACUUUUCAUCUCCUGAUGAGAAGUUGAAAGGCGGCUUUUGCUGUCACUUACAGAUGGGCCUGCGGCGCAUUAGCUAGUUGGUAAGGUAAUGGCUUACCAAGGCGACGAUGCGUAGCCGACCUGAGAGGGUGAUCGGCCACACUGGGACUGAGACACGGCCCAGACUCCUACGGGAGGCAGCAGUAGGGAAUCUUCCGCAAUGGACGAAAGUCUGACGGAGCAACGCCGCGUGAGUGAUGAAGGUUUUCGGAUCGUAAAACUCUGUUGUUAGGGAAGAACAAGUGCCAUAGUAACUGAUGGCACCUUGACGGUACCUAACCAGAAAGCCACGGCUAACUACGUGCCAGCAGCCGCGGUAAUACGUAGGUGGCAAGCGUUGUCCGGAAUUAUUGGGCGUAAAGCGCUCGCAGGCGGUUCUUUAAGUCUGAUGUGAAAUCUUACGGCUCAACCGUAAACGUGCAUUGGAAACUGGGGAACUUGAGUGCAGAAGAGGAGAGUGGAAUUCCACGUGUAGCGGUGAAAUGCGUAGAGAUGUGGAGGAACACCAGUGGCGAAGGCGACUCUCUGGUCUGUAACUGACGCUGAGGAGCGAAAGCGUGGGGAGCGAACAGGAUUAGAUACCCUGGUAGUCCACGCCGUAAACGAUGAG